UACGGCUCUAUCAUGUUGAAACACUGGUUCCAGUAGGAUCACCGAAGUUAAACAAGGUUGAGCCUGGUUAGUACUUAGAUGGGUGACAGCUUGGGAAUGCCAGGUGCUGUAAG